AACGAACGCUGGCGGCAGGCCUAACACAUGCAAGUCGAGCGCCCCGCAAGGGGAGCGGCGGACGGGUGAGUAACGCGUGGGAACGUGCCCUCUUCUACGGAAUAGCCUCGGGAAACUGGGAGUAAUACCGUAUACGCCCUUAGGGGGAAAGAUUUAUCGGAGGAGGAUCGGCCCGCGUUGGAUUAGGUAGUUGGUGGGGUAAUGGCCUACCAAGCCGACGAUCCAUAGCUGGUUUGAGAGGAUGAUCAGCCACACUGGGACUGAGACACGGCCCAGACUCCUACGGGAGGCAGCAGUGGGGAAUCUUAGACAAUGGGCGCAAGCCUGAUCUAGCCAUGCCGCGUGAGCGAUGAAGGCCUUAGGGUUGUAAAGCUCUUUCAGGGGGGAAGAUAAUGACUGUACCCCCCAGAAGAAGCCCCGGCUAACUCCGUG
rnacentral:rRNA from 1 species